AUGUUAUAGGUAUUUUGAAAUCAUUCAUAUGAUUUGACUGCUCUUUCCCCACUAUCUUCUCUCAAACUUCUAUUAAGUUAAGGUCUUCACCAUGGCUUUUACGCUUCGUUUAGAUGGAGGGAUAUGAAAUGAAAAGCUCAAGGGAUAAAAGUUAUCUCUAAUUGGGAAGUUUAAUGAGAUAAGAAAGGAAAUGGAUGGAUUCAUUAUCCCUUCAAACCCCUGUUUCCUUUCUCAUUAAAAGUAAGGAAAUAAG
rnacentral:misc_RNA from 1 species